GACGAACGCUGGCGGCGUGCUUAACACAUGCAAGUCGAACGGAGCGAAUGAAAGCUUGCUUUUAUGAGCUUAGUGGCAAACGGGUGAGUAACACGUAGACAACCUGCCGACAGGAUGGGGACAACAUUCCGAAAGGAGUGCUAAUACCGAAUGAAGUCAGAGGAGGGCAUCCUCCUCUGAUGAAAGAUGGCCUCUUUUUAUGCUAUCACCUGUUGAUGGGUCUGCGUCUGAUUAGCUGGUUGGUGAGGUAACGGCUCACCAAGGCGACGAUCAGUAGCCGGUCUGAGAGGAUGAACGGCCACAUUGGGACUGAGACACGGCCCAGACUCCUACGGGAGGCAGCAGUGGGGAAUCUUCCGCAAUGGGCGCAAGCCUGACGGAGCAACGCCGCGUGAGUGAAGAAGGUCUUCGGAUCGUAAAGCUCUGUUGACGGGGACGAACGUGCGGAGUGCGAAUAGCGCU
rnacentral:rRNA from 1 species